GGGCGAUUAACUCAGCGGGAGAGUGUCACCUUCACACGGUGGAAGUCACUGGUUCAAAUCCAGUAUCGCCCA
rnacentral:tRNA from 1 species